GCCAGCUGCAGUCCAGACGCCUGUUUGUUGGGUGUGUAUGCUCGCUGACCUGCUGCCUGACCUCACUAACAUGGAAGGAAGCUGUUUGAGGGGGCAGGGUGGACCCACAGCCUGAAGUCUCCUCCGUCGUUGUCACCGUGACAUUCAGCACACCCACAAGAAGAACGCUGUCCCCGGAAGCUGCCGUGAGAAGUCUGAGGUCCCAUGAAAGGAACUAAGAGGGAGACGUUAAGGAGAAGGGACCCGGGACAGGCUUGAAUGGAACGGCUGCCUCCCUCAGCCCAGGCCUCUCCUGACGGGAAUGAUGAAGCGGUGGGGAGACAGCGGAUUGAAAGAGAAGUCAGCUCAGCGGGGAAGCUCAGAUUGCCUUCCCGGACCACAGGCUGGGAACCAGGAGAGGAGACUGCGAGAUUGACAGGAAUGACGCUCAGACUCGAGGUGCGGACUGCUCUGCUGGCGGCAGGAGUCUCCCUUCCCCGCUCUGGUCCCCGACACCCACCGCUCUCCAGAUGCAGGCGCCCAUGUGUGCUGGGGGUCUUGUUCCCACUCACCGUGCUUCGGGGACCUUCCUCACCUGGGCUGUCUGGGGCCCCACCCUCCUCACCGCAGCUCUGUGCCCCCCUGGACGCCACGGCUGCCCCGACCGCCUGCCUUUAAGGCAGCAUUGCGACUUUGAUCUCCUUCGCACCUCAAGGUUGCCUGGGGGAGGGUGUGUGUGCGCAGAAUUCAUCGUCAUCUUCAAAGCGCCCUGUUUUUUGUAACCACGCGGCAUCACUUACUUCCCAUGGGGCCCCCAAGCCCACAGCCAUCCGGACUCAGACACCAGCCCAGUUACGCCAGACCCGCUUCCUCGCUGGCUGUGACUCGGUUUCAUCCAGGCGGGCGCCGGGCACGCAAGACUGUUCUCAAGCUGCGUCCUUAUUUCGCUCAAGGGCUGAGCACGCCACCCACACACCCCCAUUGCGGCCCCAAGUGCCGCCAGCGCCGUGAUUAGGAGUCACACAGAGGGACAUUCCUUGAAGCAGAGUCUUGGCACUCACCCCACACUCCGUGCUUCGG
rnacentral:lncRNA from 1 species